rnacentral:tRNA from 1 species
AGGCCCAUAGUUCAACGGAUAGAACACAAGACUUCGGAUCUUGGAAUCGGGGUUCAAUUCCUCGUGGGCCUG